CAAAAGGUAGGUUAUGAAAACUCCUGAAUUGUGGUUUCAGAAAUGUCAGAAGACCCUUUUUC
rnacentral:tRNA from 1 species